rnacentral:misc_RNA from 1 species
GAUGAAGAACGCAGCGAAAUGCGAUAAGUAGUGUGAAUUGCAGAAUUCAGUGAAUCAUCGAAUCUUUGAACGCACAUUGCGCCCCUUGGUAUUCCGAGGGGCAUGCCUUUUCGAGCGUCAUUUUGACCACUCCCGCUUGCGGGGUCUUGGGCCUUCGCCUCUGGGCGGGCCUUAAAAUCAGUGGCGGUGCCGUCCGGCUCUAAGCGUAGUAAAUCUCCUCGCUAUAGGGUUCCGGAGGGAUGCUGGCCAACAACCCCCAACUUUUAAGGUUGACCUCGGAUCAGGUAGGGAUACCCGCUGAACUUAAGCAUAUCAAUAAGCGGAGGA